CGGGUGCACUGAUCCAGCCGGGCCUUUCCCUCUGUGGAACCCCAUGGCCUUCACUGGCUGUGGUGGGGAAACAGGACUUUUACUUUGAAAAAAUUAGAGUGCUCCAGGCAGGCCUAUGCUCGAAUACAUUAGCAUGGAAUAAUAGAAUAGGACGUGUGGUUCUAUUUUGUUGGUUUCUAGGACCGCCGUAAUGAUUAAUAGGGACAGUCGGGGGCAUCAGUAUUCAAUUGUCAGAGGUGAAAUUCUUGGGUCUAUUGAAGACUAACUACUGCGAAAGCAUUUGCCAAGGAUGUUUUCAUUGAUAAGGAACGAAAGUUAGGGGAUCGAAGACGAUCAGAUACCGUCGUAGUCUUAACUAUAAACUAUGCCGACUAGGGAUCGGACGAUGUUAUUCUUUGACGCGUUCGGCACCUUUCGAGAAAUCAAAGUGCUUGGGCUCCAGGGGGAGUAUGGUCGCAAGGCUGAAACUUAAAGAAAUUGACGGAAGGGCACCACCAGGGGUGGAACCUGCGGCUUAAUUUGACUCAACACGGGGAAACUCACCAGGUCCAGACACAGUGAGGAUUGACAGAUUGAGAGCUCUUUCUUGAUUCUGUGGGUGGUGGUGCAUGGCCGUUCUUAGUUGGUGGAGUGAUUUGUCUGCUUAAUUGCGAUAACGAACGAGACCUUAACCUGCUAAAUAGCCCGUACUGCUUUGGCAGUUCGCCGGCUUCUUAGAGGGACUAUCGG
rnacentral:rRNA from 1 species